GAUAAACGCUGGCGGCGUGCCUUAUGCAUGCAAGUCGAACGAGACCAAGGCUUCGGCCUGAAGUCUAGUGGCGGACGGGUGAGUAACACGUACGUGACCUGUCCGGAAGUGGGGAAUAACCAGCCGAAAGGUUGGCUAAUACCGCAUGUGGUUACUGCUUGGAAACAGCAAACCAAAGUCGAAAGACGCUUCCGGAGGGGCGUGCGGCCGAUUAGCUUGUUGGUGUGGUAACGGCGCACCAAGGCUUUGAUCGGUAGCUGGUCUGAGAGGACGGUCAGCCACACUGGGACUGAGACACGGCCCAGACUCCUACGGGAGGCAGCAGCAGGGAAUUUUGCGCAAUGGGCGAAAGCCUGGCGCGGCAACGCCGCGUGAGGGAUGAAGGCUCUUGGGUCGUAAACCUCUUUUGCCGGGGAAGAUAAUGACGGUACCCGGCGAAUAAGCCACGGCUAACUACGUGCCAGCAGCCGCGGUAAUACGUAGGUGGCAAGCGUUGUCCGGAUUUAUUGGGCGUACGA
rnacentral:rRNA from 1 species